rnacentral:antisense_RNA from 1 species
CUUCAACGACCCCAGCCACAGCGGCUCGUCACGGUCCUGGCCGUACGUCGCGAGCAGCGCCUGCGCCUC